rnacentral:rRNA from 1 species
AUUGAACGCUGGCGGCAUGCCUUACACAUGCAAGUCGAACGGUAACGGGCCUUCGGGUGCCGACGAGUGGCGAACGGGUGAGUAAUGUAUCGGAACGUACCAUUGAGUGGGGGAUAACGUAGCGAAAGUUACGCUAAUACCGCAUAUUCUCUCCGGAGGAAAGCAGGGGACCGCAAGGCCUUGCGCUCUUUGAGCGGCCGAUAUCAGAUUAGCUAGUUGGGGGGGUAAAAGCUCACCAAGGCGACGAUCUGUAGCGGGUCUGAGAGGAUGAUCCGCCACACUGGAACUGCGACACGGUCCAGACUCCUACGGGAGGCAGCAGUGGGGAAUUGUGGACAAUGGGGGCAACCCUGAUCCGGCCAUGCCGCGUGAGUGAAGAAGGCCUUCGGGUUGUAAAGCUCUUUCAGCCGGGAAGAAAUCGCAUGGGCUAAUACCCCGUGCGGAUGACGGUACCGGAAUAAGAAGCACCGGCUAACUACGUGCCAGCCGCCGCGGUAA